CACGUAUGGGGCGAGCGUUGUUCGGAAUUAUUGGGCGUAAAGGGUGCGCAGGCGGUUCAACAAGUCUGGUGUUAAAUCCCACAGCUUAACUGUGGACAGGCAUUGGAAACUGUUGGACUAGAGUUCUGGAGGGGUAGCUGGAAUUCCAGGUGUAGGGGUGAAAUCUGUAGAUAUCUGGAAGAACAUCAAUGGCGAAGGCAAGCUACUGGCCAUGAACUGACGCUGAGGCACGAAAGUAUGGGGAGCAAACAGG
rnacentral:rRNA from 1 species